rnacentral:rRNA from 1 species
AAACUUUCAACAACGGAUCUCUUGGUUCUGGCAUCGAUGAAGAACGCAGCGAAAUGCGAUAAGUAAUGUGAAUUGCAGAAUUCAGUGAAUCAUCGAAUCUUUGAACGCACAUUGCGCCCAUUAGUAUUCUAGUGGGCAUGCCUGUUCGAGCGUCAUUUCAACCCUUAAGCCCCUGUUGCUU